rnacentral:rRNA from 2 species
GGGUUGUGAGGUUAAGCGACUAAGCGUACACGGUGGAUGCCCUGGCAGUCAGAGGCGAUGAAGGGCGUGCUAAUCUGCGAUAAGCGCCGGUAAGGUGAUAUGAACCGUUAUAACCGGCGAUACCCGAAUGGGGAAACCCAGUGUGACUCGUCACACUAUCAUUAACUGAAUCCAUAGGUUAAUGAGGCGAACCGGGGGAACUGAAACAUCUAAGUACCCCGAGGAAAAGAAAUCAACCGAGAUUCCCCCAGUAGCGGCGAGCGAACGGGGAGGAGCCCAGAGCCUGAAUCAGCAUGUGUGUUAGUGGAAGCGUCUGGAAAGACGCGCGAUACAGGGUGACAGCCCCGUACACAAAAGCGUAUGUGCUGUGAGCUCGAUGAGUAGGGCGGGACACGUGGUAUCCUGUCUGAAUAUGGGGGGACCAUCCUCCAAGGCUAAAUACUCCUGACUGACCGAUAGUGAACCAGUACCGUGAGGGAAAGGCGAAAAGAACCCCGGCGAGGGGAGUGAAAAAGAACCUGAAACCGUGUACGUACAAGCAGUGGGAGCACAGGUUUACCUGUGUGACUGCGUACCUUUUGUAUAAUGGGUCAGCGACUUAUAUUCUGUAGCAAGGUUAACCGAAUAGGGGAGCCGGAGGGAAACCGAGUCUUAAUUGGGCGUUAAGUUGCAGGGUAUAGACCCGAAACCCGGUGAUCUAGCCAUGGGCAGGUUGAAGGUUGGGUAACACUAACUGGAGGACCGAACCGACUAAUGUUGAAAAAUUAGCGGAUGACCUGUGGCUGGGGGUGAAAGGCCAAUCAAACCGGGAGAUAGCUGGUUCUC